rnacentral:rRNA from 1 species
GGUGUAAAGGACCACCAUGGCUACGAUCGGUAUGGGCGAUGGAAGUCGGAGCCCAGAGUCGGCUACUGAGACAAGGAGCCGAGCUUUACGAAGCUUAGCGGUCGCGAAAACUCGCCAAUGCACGAAAGUGUGAGUGGGCUACUCCAAGUGACAUUCUUACGGAUGUCUGUCGCACAGUCUUACCAGCUGUGAAAGGAAGGAGAGGGCAAGGCUGGUGCCAGCCGCCGCGGUAAAACCAGCUCUUCGAGUGGUCAGGACGAAUAUUGGGUCUAAAGCGCUCGUAGCCGGACAAGUAGGUUCUUGGUUAAACCCGACAGCAUAACUGUUGGCAUGCUGGGAAUACCGCUAGUCUUGGAAGCGGGAGAGGACAGAGGUAGUCAUAGGGCAGGGGUGAAAUCCAGUGAUCCUAUGGCGACCACCGAUGGCGAAGGCAUCUGUCUGGAACGUAUUCGACGGUGAGGGGCGAAAGCUAGGGGAGCGACCCGGAUUAGAUACCCGGUUAGUCCUAGCCGUAAACGAUGCGGACUAGGUGUUACAGCGGCCAAGAGCCACUGUAGUGCCACAGCGAAGGCGUUAAGUCCGCCACCUGGGGAGUACGGAUGCAAGUCUGAAACUUAAAGGAAUUGACGGGGGCGCACCACCAGGAGUGAAGCCUGCGGUUUA